rnacentral:rRNA from 1 species
UACGUAGGGGGCAAGCGUUGUCCUGAUUUAUUGGGCGUAAAGAGCGUGUAGGCGGUUUGGUAGGUCCGUUGUGAAAACUCGAGGCUCAACCUCGAGAGGUCGGUGGAAACCGUUUGGCUAGAGUCCGGAAGAGGAGAGUGGAAUUCCCGGUGUAGCGGUGAAAUGCGCAGAUAUCGGGAGGAACAUCAGUGGCGAAGGCGGCUGCCUGGCCCAAUACUGACACUCAGGUGCGACAGCGUGGGGAGCAAACAGG